UCGAGAGGCUUCGGCAAUGGGGGAAACCCUGACCGAGCGACGCCGCGUGGGCGAUGAAGGCCGUUAGGUUGUAAAGCCCUGUCGAGCGGGAGCAAUUGCAGGCGGGUAAACAAUCCGUCUGUUUGAGAGUACCGUUAAAGGAAGCUCCGGCCAACUCCGUGCCAGCAGCCGCGGUAAUACGGGGGGAGCGAACGUUGUUCGGAAUUACUGGGCGUAAAGGGCGUGCAGGCGGCCUUGUAAGAGAGUUGUGAAAUGCCCUGGCUCAACCAGGGAAAUGCACCUCUGACUGCAAGGCUUGAGUAUAGGAGAGGAUGGGGGAAUUCCCGGUGUAGCGGUGAAAUGCAUUGAUAUCGGGAGGAACACCAGUGGCGAAGGCGCCCAUCUGGCCUAAUACUGACGCUCAGGCGCGAAAGCUAGGGGAGCAAACAGG
rnacentral:rRNA from 1 species